GGAGUGGUAGUUCAGUUGGUUAGAAUACCGGCCUGUCACGCCGGGGGUCGCGGGUUCGAGCCCCGUCCACUCCG
rfam:Legionella feeleii strain WO-44C Lfee_ctg082, whole genome shotgun sequence.